AUGCUCUACUCUCUCCUUGCCUUUCUCCUGGGCAUGUUCUUGGGUGUUAGUGCUCAGACUAUCCAUCAAUGGCCAGCUGCCGAGGUCAAGGCUGUGGGCAGUCCACUCUCUCUGGAGUGUACCAUAAAGGGGAAAUCAAACCCCAACCUCUACUGGUACUGGCAGGCCACAGGAGGCACCCUCCAGCAACUGUUCUACUCUAUUAAUGUUGGCCAGGUAGAGUCGGUGGUACCACUGAACCUCUCAGCUUCCAGGCUCAAGGACAACGAAUUCAUCCUAAGCACGGAGAAGCUGCUUCUUAGUCACUCUGGCUUCUACCUCUGUGCCUGGAGUCUCACACUGAGUAGGGUGGGGCAGACAUCUGUGCAAAAACCACACCCUCUCUUUAGUCCUACCUCCAUUGCUAGGAACCCUCACUAG